rnacentral:rRNA from 1 species
UACAGAGGUCUCGAGCGUUAGGCGGAAUCACUGGGCUUAAAGCGUGUGUAGGUGGAUCGUUAAGUACCUUGUGAAAUCCCACGGCUUAACCGUGGAACUGCUUGGUAUACUGGCGGUCUUGAGCCAGCUAGGGGCUACCGGAACAAAUGGUGGAGCGGUGAAAUGCGUAGAUAUCAUUUGGAACGCCAAUGGUGAAAACAGGUAGCUGGGCCUGAACUGACGCUGAGGAGCGAAAGCCAGGGGAGCAAACGGG